rnacentral:rRNA from 1 species
UCCUUAGAUGUCCUGGGCCGCACGCGCGCUACACUGAGUGUCUGAGAUACGAGUCUGCCUGGUCCGGCAAGGUCUAGGUAAUCGCUAAAAGACACAUCAUGCUUGGGAUAGAUUAUUGCAAAUAUUAAUCUUGAACGAGGAAUUCCUAGUAAGCGCAAGUCAACAGCUUGCGUUGAUUACGUCCCUGCCCUUUGUACACACCGCCCGUCGCUACUACUGAUUGGAUGUUUAAGCGAGGUUCUCGAACUGCUAGCGACUUAGCUUCGGUGAGGUCGCAGUGUGGGAAGUGAACCUAGCUUUGGUGUCUAGAGGAAGUAAAAGUCGUAACA